rnacentral:rRNA from 1 species
GAUGAACGCUGGCGGCGUGCCUAAUACACGCAAGUCGAGCGAACAGACGAGGAGCUUGCUCCUCUGACGUUAGCGGCGGACGGGUGGGUAACACGUGGAUAACCUACCUAUAAGACUGGGAUAACUUCGGGAAACCGGAGCUAAUACCGGAUAAUAUAUUGAACCGCAUGGUUCAAUAGUGAAAGACGGUUUUGCUGUCACUUAUAGAUGGAUCCGCGCCGCAUUAGCUAGUUGGUAAGGUAACGGCUUACCAAGGCAACGAUGCGUAGCCGACCUGAGAGGGGGAUCGGCCACACUGGAACUGAGACACGGUCCAGACUCCUACGGGAGGCAGCAGUAGGGAAUCUUCCGCAAUGGGCGAAAGCCUGACGGAGCAACGCCGCGUGAGUGAUGAAGGUCUUCGGAUCGUAAAACUCUGUUAUUAGGGAAGAACAAAUGUGUAAGUAACUAUGCACGUCUUGACGGUACCUAAUCAGAAAGCCACGGCUAACUACGUG